AUACGUAGGGGGCGAGCGUUGUCCGGAAUGACUGGGCGUAAAGGGCGUGUAGGCGGCGGUGUAAGUCUGGAGUGAAAGUCCCGCAUUCAAUGUGGGAAUUGCUUUGGAUACUGCCGCGCUUGAGUGCAGGAGGGGUUAUCGGAAUUCCCGGUGUAGCGGUGAAAUGCGUAGAGAUCGGGAGGAACACCAGUGGCGAAGGCGGGUAACUGGACUGCAACUGACGCUGAGGCGCGAAAGUGUGGGGAGCAAACAGGAUUAGAUACCCUGGUAGUCCACACUGUAAACGAUGAAUGCUAGGUGUAAGAGGUAUCGACCCCUUUUGUGCCGGAGUCAACACAAUAAGCAUUCCGCCUGGGGAGUACGGCCGCAAGGUUGAAACUCAAAUGAAUUGACGGGG
rnacentral:rRNA from 1 species